rnacentral:RNase_P_RNA from 1 species
GCGGAUGGCCGGGUGGCUGCGGGGACAACCCCGAGGAAAGUCCGGACUCCACGAAGCAACGGUGCCGGGUAACGCCCGGGCGGGGCAACCCGACGGAUAGCGCCACAGAGAACAGACCGCUUGGCCCAGCCAAGUAAGGGUGAAACGGUGGGGUAAGAGCCCACCGCGGGGCUGGCAACAGCACCGGCAUGGCAAGCCCCACCGGGAGCAAUGCCAAAUAGGAGCCUCACAUGGGCCGCUUCGGCCUCGGGGCUCGGGUUGGCAGCUAGAGGGGGCGCGGCAACGCGCGCCCGAGAUGAAUGGCCACCCCGCCCGAAAGGGCGGACAGAAUCCGGCUUACAGGCCAUCCGCGCGA